GCUCCAGUGGCGCAAUCGGUUAGCGCGCGGUGGUACUUAUAAUGCCGAGGUUGUGAGUUCGAGGCUCACCUGGAGCA
rnacentral:tRNA from 1 species